GACGUAGGUGGCGAACGUUAUCCGGAAUUAUUGGGCGUAAAGGGUGCGUAGAUGGCUUGACAAGUUAGUGGUGGGAAAUCGAGGCUCAACCUCGUGGAAGUCACUAAUACUAUCAAACUAGAGUGCAGGAGAGGUUAAUGGAACUCCAUGUGUAGCGGUAAAAUGCGACGAUAUAUGGAUGAACACCAAUAAAGGCGAAGGCAGUUAACUAUUCUGAUACUGACAUUGAGGGCACGAAAGCGUGGGGAGCAAAACGG
rnacentral:rRNA from 1 species